rnacentral:misc_RNA from 1 species
ACGAGUUAGGGUCCUCUAGGCCCGACCUCCCAACCCUUUGUUUACUGAACCUCUGUUGCUUCGGCGGGCCCGUCUCACGACCGCCGGAGGAGCGCUGAAAGGCGUGUCCUCCGGCCUGUGUCCGCCGAUAGCCAACCACAAAACUCUGUAUAAAUCAUGUCAUGUCUAAGUCAAUGAUUAAAAUCAAAGCA